CCUACGGGAGGCAGCAGUGGGGAAUCUUGGACAAUGGGCGAAAGCCCGAUCCAGCAAUAUCGCGUGAGUGAAGAAGGGCAUGCCGCUUGUAAAGCUCUUUCGUCGAGUGCGCGAUCAUGACAGGACUCGAGGAAGAAGCCCCGGCUAACUCCGUGCCAGCAGCCGCGGUAAUACGAAGGGGGCUAGCGUUGUUCGGAAUUACUGGGCGUAAAGCGCGCGUAGGCGGAUAGAUAAGUCAGAGGUGAAAUCCCGGGGCCCAACCCCGGAAUUGCCUUUGAUACUGUUUAUCUUGAGUGCAGAGGAGGUAAGUGGAAUUCCGAGUGUAGAGGUGAAAUUCGUAGAUAUUCGGAGGAACACCAGUGGCGAAGGCGGCUUACUGGUCUGCAACUGACGCUGAGGCGCGAAAGCGUGGGGAGCAAACAGGAUUAGAUACCCUAGUAGUC
rnacentral:rRNA from 1 species